CGCCACCAUUAAUCGACAACUCAGUUCAAAUCAAGCAAGUGGAAACGUCCCAUUAAUAAUGAAAGUGGGUGAGUGAGUUACUUUUUACGUUUUGGCUGAGUUAGCUUAAAGUUGUGGGUGAGUUACUUUAUACGUUUUGGCUGAGUUAGCUUAAAGUUGUGAGUGAGUUACCUUAUACGUUUUGGCUGAGUUAGCUUAAAGUUGUGACUGAGUUACCUUAUACGUUUUGGCUGAGGUAGCUUAAAGUUAUGACUGAGUUACCUUAUACGUUUUGGCUGAGUUAUCUUAAAGUUGUGACUGGGUUACCUUAUACGUUUUGGCUGAGUUUUGGCUAUGUUUUAUUAUGGCUGCAUUUCAGAAACGUUCAGAUUACUUGACGGCUGAGUUACUGUAAUACGUUAAGUCUGAGUUACAUAAAACAUAAGCUGACUUAUAUGUACAAAACAUUACUAAACAAAGAAGUAGUAGUAGAAAAGUAACGACAUUCCAACCCCACAAACAACCACAUUCCUUAAACACCGACCCUGACUCAUACAUUCUUCUCCUUUUCCCUCAGACGCCGUCUUCAUUACUUCAAUAUGUUUUGGCUGAGGUAGCUUAAAGUUAUGACUGAGUUACCUUAUACGUUUUGGCUGAGUUAUCUUAAAGUUGUGACUGGGUUACCUUAUACGUUUUGGCUGAGUUUUGGCUAUGUUUUAUUAUGGCUGCAUUUCAGAAACGUUCAGAUUACUUGACGGCUGAGUUACUGUAAUACGUUAAGUCUGAGUUACAUAAAACAUAAGCUGACUUAUAUGUACAAAACAUUACUAAACAAAGAAGUAGUAGUAGAAAAGUAACGACAUUCCAACCCCACAAACAACCACAUUCCUUAAACACCGA
rnacentral:lncRNA from 1 species